rnacentral:rRNA from 1 species
CACGUAGGGCGCAAGCGUUGUCCGGAAUUAUUGGGCGUAAAGAGCUCGUAGGCGGUCUGUUGCGUCCGCUGUGAAAACUCGGGGCUUAACCCCGAGCCUGCAGUGGAUACGGGCAGACUAGAGGUAGGUAGGGGAGAAUGGAAUUCCCGGUGUAGCGGUGAAAUGCGUAGAUACUGGGAGGAACACCAGUGGCGAAGGCGGCUACCUGGACCGGUUCUGACGCUGAUGCGCGAAAGCGUGGGUAGCAAACAGG